rnacentral:hammerhead_ribozyme from 1 species
AUUCAGCUGACGAGUCUCAAAAAUGAUGAAACGCGCGUCUUGGAU